rnacentral:rRNA from 1 species
UACGUAGGGAGCAAGCGUUUGUCCGGAAUCAUUGGGCGUAAAGCGCGCGUAGGCGGCCUCAUAAGUCCGUUGUGAAAGUCAAAGGCUCAACCUUUGAAAGCCGAUGGAUACUGUGAGGCUAGAGUCCGGAAGAGGCGAGUGGAAUUCCUGGUGUAGCGGUGGAAUGCGCAGAUAUCGGGAAGAACACCCGGUGGCGAAGGCGGUCUCUG